rnacentral:lncRNA from 1 species
GCAAAUUCCAUAGCAGGGUAAAGGCCUUCCUAUUGGAUUACCACAUUCAGUUCCCAGGGACUAGACACGCUGUGCCAUGUAACGUAUUUUACAUUGCUAGGGAGUUAUUGGAGCCUGAGGAUAGCAGCAUUUUUCUGCCUUCUGACUAUUGUGCUGACAGAUAGUUUUUGCUAUUACAUUUAUUUGGAAAGGAAAAUAAGCAAAUGCAAACAUUCAGAGUUGUUUUCCUCCUUCAGAUUUAAAAACAGAAUUUUUCCCUCAUAUUGUUCUACACUGAAAUGUGACAUAGUAAAGCUGUCUAGAGCCACAGUCUGUCCUGUCUUGAGAAAAAAAUAACAUCACCUCCGAGUGAAGCAAAUAAAAACUGGACUCCUUCCACUGGAUGGGAACCAAAGAGCUGCAAUUUUCAGUUCCAGGAUUUUCUGACAGCUUCUAUUGCCAUACGGCCCUGCGUGGGACAGGACAGUGUCGCAUGUGAGGAAAGGCAGACAGACAACAGAGGGAACCAGGCAGCUGAGCGAUAUACGUGUUUUAAAUGGACAAGAGAUUCGUGAUGUUCAGACACUGCCUCCUCUGUCACAUGGAUUACAGUCUGGCAUCCACAAACAACAUACUGAAGCACCAUGUGGACAACUUGUGAAAGCCGACUAAGGAUCAGAUCAUGGCAGAAGACACCAAAACCAAUUUGUGGACUGUUCCACUAAGCAGCCUUUCUAUUUCGUGUUAAAGACGGGCAUAAAUGUAAUAUGGACUUCAAAAAACUUUUGUGUUUAAUAUUAGAGGUACCAAAAUAAGGGUCAAUGUAAAGAAGUACCGUAGCAACCACACCAUGUGAACAGAGAAGGCCGUUUCAGAAGUACUGUACCCACUACCUAUUUGUCUAUGACUGCUUACACACACUGACCAACACUCUCCCCCUCCUCUUUGUUUUUGGUUUAUCGUUCCUUAAACAAACCAAUAUACUCAGGCAGAGAACAAAGCAACAGUGACUGUCCCCAGAAGAACUAUGAAAGCAGAUGAAUGUGUUCAUGCAUCCACAGCUGUGGGACACGACGACACGGCCUUUAACUGGUUAGAAACAAUGCUGCAAUGCAAAGACUGCAGUGCAGUACGACGGUGUCA